UAAGUCGGAUGUGAAAUCCCCGAGCUUAACUUGGGAAUUGCAUUCGAUACUGGGAAGCUAGAGUAUGGGAGAGGAUGGUAGAAUUCCAGGUGUAGCGGUGAAAUGCGUAGAGAUCUGGAGGAAUACCGAUGGCGAAGGCAGCCAUCUGGCCUAAUACUGACGCUGAGGUACGAAAGCAUGGGGAGCAAACAGGAUUAGAUACCCUGGUAGUCCAUGCCGUAAACGAUGUCUACUAGCCGUUGGGGCCUUUGAGGCUUUAGUGGCGCAGCUAACGCGAUAAGUAGACCGCCUGGGGAGUACGGUCGCAAGACUAAAACUCAAAUGAAUUGACGGGGGCCCGCACAAGCGGUGGAGCAUGUGGUUUAAUUCGAUGCAACGCGAAGAACCUUACCUGGCCUUGACAUACUAGAAACUUUCCAGAGAUGGAUUGGUGCCUUCGGGAAUCUAGAUACAGGUGCUGCAUGGCUGUCGUCAACUCGUGUCGUGAGAUGUUCGGUUAAGUCUCGCAACGAGCGCAACCCUUUUCCUUACUUGCCAGCAUUUCGGAUGGGAACUUUAAGGAUACUGCCAGUGACAAACUGGAGGAAGGCGGGGACGACGUCAAGUCAUCAUGGCCCUUACGGCCAGGGCUACACACGUGCUACAAUGGUCGGUACAAAGGGUUGCUACCUAGCGAUAGGAUGCUAAUCUCAAAAAGCCGAUCGUAGUCCGGAUUGGAGUCUGCAACUCGACUCCAUGAAGU
rnacentral:rRNA from 1 species